rnacentral:rRNA from 1 species
AUUGAACGCUGGCGGCAGGCUUAACACAUGCAAGUCGAGCGGGGUGAUGGUGCUUGCACUAUCACUUAGCGGCGGACGGGUGAGUAAUGCUUAGGAAUCUGCCUAUUAGUGGGGGACAACAUCUCGAAAGGGAUGCUAAUACCGCAUACGUCCUACGGGAGAAAGCAGGGGAUCACUUGUGACCUUGCGCUAAUAGAUGAGCCUAAGUCGGAUUAGCUAGUUGGUGGGGUAAAGGCCUACCAAGGCGACGAUCUGUAGCGGGUCUGAGAGGAUGGACCGCCACACUGGGACUGAGACACGGCCCAGACUCCUACGGGAGGCAGCAGUGGGGAAUAUUGGAAAAUGGGGGGAACCCUGAUCCAGCCAAGCCGCGUGUGUGAAGAAGGCCUUAUGGUUGUAAAGCACUUUAAGCGAGGAGGAGGCUCUUUUGGUUAAUACCCAAGAUGAGUGGACGUUACUCGCAGAAUAAGCACCGGCUAACUCUGUGCCAGCCGCCGCGGUAA